rnacentral:rRNA from 1 species
AGGGAAUAUUGCACAAUGGGGGAAACCCUGAUGCAGCGACGCCGCGUGAGUGAUGAAGGCCUUCGGGUCGUAAAGCUCUGUCGUAUGGGACUAACACAAUGAAGGUACCAUGCAAGAAAGGAUCGGCUAACUUCGUGCCAGCAGCCGCGGUAAGACGAGGGAUCCUAGCGUUGUUCGGAAUUAUUGGGCGUAAAGCGGGUGUAGGCGGAUCUGUAAGUCAGGUGUGAAAUCCCAGGGCUCAACCCUGGAAGUGCACUUGAUACUGCUGAUCUUGAGUGUGGUAGAGGUUACUGGAAUUCCUGGUGUAGUGGUAAAAUACGUAGAUAUCAGGAGGAAUACCGGAGGCGAAGGCGAGUAACUGGGCCAACACUGACGCUGAGACCCGAAAGCGUGGGGAUCAAAC